AAGGCGCUGCGAUCUUUCUCAUCGUCUCUCAAAUCAUUCCUGUAACCUCAUUCCUGCAAAUCAUUCCUAUAAAUCAAUUCUCAUUUUCGCACCUCUAACCUCGUACAACAAUAGAACCUUAUCAUCUUCGCACUUCUUCCUCUGAUUAUCAUCACCAUGUUGGGUUCCGUCGAAUCCGAUUCUUCAUCUUCUUCUGCUCCCGCAGUUCACAUCAUCUACGGCGAAAAGCCUUAGGAAGAGGAGCCUAAGGCUCACGACAUCCUAACCCUCAUUUCGGUUUUUGGCAGUGAAAAUGUUGAGAGGGUUUUGACAAGAAAAGCUUCAUGGUGAUGAUAAUCAGCCAUGAUGAACACGUACAACAAUAGAAUCGAAGAACCCAAGAACCUUGAUUUUGCAAGAGAGAAGAAUCUUCCACAGAAUAAUCACUUAUUCCUGGUUAAUGAUCAAGUUGGACUUUCACAAAAUUCCUCGUCUCAGAAGAAUCAAACUGAUUUGAUGCUUUUUUCACGUUUAUUGGAUGAUGAAAGAAGUCUUGGGUUAGCAGGCAUCAAAUGGGUAUUUAAUAUUAUUUUAAAGCACUUCAAUGUUUGUUAUUUUUUCUUAAUUUUUGUAUUCAACUUAUCUAUUAUGUUAAUGCGACUCUUUGGGACCUUUGAUCUUGGCAUGCCAACAAAGAAAUGCAUUGACAGAAGCUGAUUUGGAGCUUUUAACUCCAAACAUGAUUGUAUCCAGAUUUAUUGUCUUAAAUUACUAAACAUGUAAUUAAUUGAAAAUACAUAGUACGUAUCUCACCAUAUACAUUGUUAAAUAGUUAGUUUAAUUAUAUUGGUAGAUGAUUUUUUUUAUUUGCAUGUAUUUGCAGGGUGGAAUUCUGCUAGGUCCAUUGACAUUUGGGAAGAAACACAAACUACCUGCACCACAUAUUCUCAUCAUGUAUGCUUGACAAAAAAUCAUCGACGACGCAGACAAAGUCUGAUUCGGUCAAUUCCUUGUCUUUCGAGGGAGUCGCACUAUCAAUAACAACAUUUUUUAUUUCAGUGCACAUCCUUGCCGAACUC